rnacentral:rRNA from 1 species
GACGAACGCUGGCGGCGUGCCUAAUACAUGCAAGUCGAACGAACCGCGACUAAGUGCUUGCACCAAGUCAAGGCGAGUGGCGAACGGGUGAGUAACACGUGGGUAACCUACCUCAUAGUGGGGGAUAACAGUCGGAAACGACUGUUCAUACCGCAUAGGACAUAGGAUCACAUGAUCCAGGGAGGAAAGGUGGCGCAAGCUAUCGCUAAGAGAUGGACCCGCGGUGCAUUAGCUAGUUGGUAGGGUAAAGGCCUACCAAGGCGACGAUGCAUAGCCGACCUGAGAGGGUGAUCGGCCACACUGGGACUGAGACACGGCCCAAACUCCUACGGGAGGCAGCAGUAGGGAAUCUUCCGCAAUGGACGCAAGUCUGACGGAGCAACGCCGCGUGAGUGAAGAAGGUCUUCGGAUCGUAAAGCUCUGUUAUUAGAGAAGAACAACGCAUAGAGUAACUGCUAUGCGUGUGACGGUAUCUAACCAGAAAGCCACGGCUAACUACGUG